CCUGAAUUACGACAGUCCUGGUGGGGUUCUACAAGGGGCAGCAUGAGGGAGAGGAGAGAGGACUAUUUUACCAAGAUUUUAAGACUUUCAAACAACCAGGGAAGGCUUCUGUGGGCUGUCUCUGCACUAGGACUAAAGAACCAGAACUGUUCAGAAAGAGAGAAGAGCCCAGCGCCUUAUACGCAGGAGAUACUGAAAAACAUCAUAUAAAGUGUUUACUGUUGAGAGAAAAGUACACAUCAGAGGAUGCCCAUUAUUGAUAUAGAGCCUUCUCUGUAUCUGGAUGAACGUGACCAGGAAGUCACCCUCA
rnacentral:lncRNA from 1 species